rnacentral:rRNA from 1 species
UACGUAGGCAGCAAGCGUUGUUCGGAGUUACUGGGCGUAAAGAGUGCGUAGGCGGUCCUGUAAGUUUGGUGUGAAAUCUCCCGGCUCAACUGGGAGGGUGCGCCGAAGACUGCAGGGCUUGAGUAUGGGAGAGGUAAGCGGAAUUCCUGGUGUAGCGGUGAAAUGCGUAGAUAUCAGGAAGAACACCAGUGGCGAAGGCGGCCAACUGGCCCGAUACUGACGCUCAUGUGCGAAAGCGUGGGGAGCAAACAGG